GAUGAUACCUGUGGCUGCAAAUGAUGUUGCAUUCUCACUCCAUGCAGUUGUUAUGACAGCAGCUACUCUGUUCCAGAUCUUUAUCUAUGAACGUGGACCUCAAAAAAUAUCCAAACUUGCUACAGGUAUUGUGGUUGCUGUGUGGGUUUUCGCAGCUAUCUGUUUUUUCGUAGCAUUACCUACUCAGUCUUGGCUCUGGCUUAUCUCCCUCUUCAACUCGAUUCAAGUCGCCAU